GACAGAGGGGGCAAGCGUUGCUCGGAAUUACUGGGCGUAAAGGGCGCGUAGGCGGAAUGGCAAGUCGGUCGUGAAAUCCUUCGGCUCAACCGAAGAACGUCGAUCGAAACUGCCGUUCUUGAGGAUUGCAGAGGAGACUGGAAUUCCCGGUGUAGCGGUGAAAUGUGUAGAGAUCAGGAAGAACAUCGGUGGCGAAGGCGCUCUGCUGGACCAUAACUGACACUCAGGGACGAAAGCUAGGGGAGCGAAUGGG
rnacentral:rRNA from 1 species